GGCUUGGUGGUGGAUGGUCCACGCUCGUAUGCUAUGUGUACCCCACGUGGUAGAUUCUGCGAGAGCCGCGCGUUCGAUUCGCGCCUGAGCCA